rnacentral:ncRNA from 2 species
AAUCGAUAAUGGCAAACUUAUUGAAAAAUAAGGACGCAAAGCCAAGGGUCUAAGGUCGGCGCGGCACACACGCCCCCGACGAUGACAGCCGGUUGCCGAA